CACAAGCGGUGGAGCAUGUGGUUUAAUUCGACGCAACGCGAAGAACCUUACCAGGGCUUGACAUCCCCUGACCGCGUAUGAAAGUACGUUUUCACCCUCGGGUGGACAGGGAGACAGGUGGUGCAUGGUUGUCGUCAGCUCGUGUCGUGAGAUGUUGGGUCAAGUCCCGCAACGAGCGCAACCCCUACGUUUAGUUGCUAACAGGUGAAGCUGAGCACUCUAGACGAACUGCCGUUGGCAAAACGGAGGAAGGUGGGAUGACGUCAAGUCCUCAUGGCCUUUAUGCCCAGGGCUACACACGUGCUACAAUGGGCGGUACAAAGAGCAGCGAGCUCGCGAGAGUAAGCAAAUCUCAAAAAGCCGUCCUCAGUUCGGAUUGGAGUCUGCAACUCGACUCCAUGAAGUUGGAAUCGCUAGUAAUCGCGGAUCAGCAUGCCGCGGUGAAUACGUUCCCGGGCCUU
rnacentral:rRNA from 1 species